AUAGCAAAUCAGUUUGUCUUUCUCUGCACUCACAAAUACUCCUUUCUAUAUCUACCAAUACAAAGGAAUGCACCCUCCUAGAAUGUGUGAGUGUGCACUAGCAGGUUGGCCAACUACAGAGUUCUCGGGGAACUAACUGGAAAUCCUUCUGUAGAUGCAUUGGAAUUUUGUUCUUUCCACCACUCAGUAAAGCUGGUUGUCUUACAGCUUUGAGUACAGCGGUUAAAUGCAGCCAGAAAGGAAUCUGUAACAAGUUUCUGGCAUGGAGCACAGUUUGCUGUACAAAGCCUCCAGUGCUGCUGAGUUCAGCAGUACUGUGGUCAGUAAGUAAGGACAUAGCAGAGAUCACCAUUUGCUUCUGAAAUGCAAUAGGAGCAGAAGAAAUGGAGGGACAGCCAGGAUCGUCGGGGAUCAUCCUGAAAGAAGCCUGACUACAGUUAAGCUUCAGUGACUGGCAUGGAUCGUGUGCCCGUGCGUAACUGCCUACAUACAAAGAAGUGCAGAUCGAGGUUUCUUCUACAACAGCCUAAGGAUGCAGUGGCUGAGGUCCCAUCACAGUCACCCCUUCCUGAAGUUAAGAAAACACCUUGUGUCCAAGUUAACAUGGGAUAUGGUCAGGAUGGUAAUUUGAAAGAGUUUCUAAAAGAAGCCGACAGUGGCUCUGAGUCCCCCACCUUUGAAGGCUUUGAUUUAUAUCUAAUACUACUGCAACCAAUACCUACCAUUCCUAAAGAAGGCCAGAAAGAGGUGGUAGGAACUGUAAGAUGCAAUACAUGUAAGAUAAAGUCAGGAAAACAAUUUCCUUUCUUUGUGACAGCAAGUGGCAUUUCCUCUGAACUCAGAAAUAUUUUUGUCUUUUAAAGCAAAUUAGAUAAAUAUUAUUCGUCUUUCUUUUCCUUGACUCAUUUCUGGUGCUCCUAUCUCCAAAUUUCUUACACUCAAACUUUUCUUUCUGCUCCCCUCCAAUCUCUAAUUUAUAUUUCUAAUCCCUUCUUAGAAACCUCAUUCUGACUGUUUGAUAUUAUAGAAGACUUUGCUAAACAUAAAUUCUGUUAAAUUGGUGGUCUGCUGCCAGCUUUCUGCAGAGAUCUCACAUAGUACAUUAACAAUGCAGAUUAUGUAGCGGUUGCUUUGCUUAAUUGCUUUCUUCCUGCCUACUGUCUGUAGAAGGGACCUCAGUUUCCCUUAAAGUAAUUCUUUCCUUACCAGAGUCACCUUUGUUCCCUGUGAGGAUCCCUCUGUAGUGUAAGCAUCUCCUAAGUAUAACAGCUGUGGCUCUCUGGAAGCUCCCUGAGCACAGCACUUGGCUGAGACACGCUGCCUGGAAGGGGACAGGGUGGGACAGGCAAUCCCAGCUCAUCAUCAGUGUCACGCUCUCUGGAGGAAAGGAAACAAAAAAGGUGUUUUUUUGAGUUAGAGCGUUGUGGUGGUUGUGACAGCCUAACUUUUAUAACAGAGAAUCUAUUUCACUACAGCAAACGAGACAGCUGGAAAAAACAGAUGCGCUUUAGACUGCACAAACUAAUUUAGAAGUUAGAAGCCUAGCUUUGGCAGCCAAACUUUGCAAUGUAUAACAAACUAGAAAAUCGAACAAGAGCUUCAGUUUAACAGCCAUGUUCCGCUCUACCUGCUCAGCCUCUCUCCAAGAACUGCUGGUGUCCUCCAGUUCCUCUUCAAGAUUCUUUCGCGCUUCCUGAGAAAAUGUCUUUUCUCAGCUAAACUAAGGCCAGUGCCCAGUGCCAAUUCUUCACUUUUUGGUUUUUUUUACUCAAUUCACGUGCCAUCUAAAUCAUUAGCAAGAAAAGGAAGAUUCCUAAAGCAUGUAAGCAUUAUGUAUGCUAGAGAUGCUCUGGUUUAUCCAGCAAUUUUGUGGAAGAUAAGCUAUGUACACAGCUUGUCUUGAGCUGCUCCCACUCCAACACAAGAUGAGCCGUAACCCUGGGCCGUGCAGUUCAGCUGCCAAAGACCCAUUAUGAAUCUUCUGCCUUGCCAUGCUCCUCACCUGCAGUAUUCAUUUUAUUUUUUUUUUUUUAAGCCUGAAACAAAAGCAGAAUAUUGUAAAAGUUUUGUACGAUCUGUUGUUUGUUGCCCCGUGUCUGUGUUAUGACUGUGGACAGCUGCUUUAAAAUGAAAGAGACACUGUGCGCCUCCCAUUUUCAGGUGUCCCCAGAAGCUGCAGGUUCUCAGCCUCUCAAAAUCCGGGCUACAAUAUCUGCGUUUAUGAGAUUCAAAAUUCUCUCUGAGUUUUUAACAAAACUAGACUGUGUUUUGCUGCCAUCAGAAUCCACUGAGAUAAACAGAGAUCUGAUGAAGCACUAGGAAGUUUCCUCUUUGUGUAUAAAUAUUUAUGUAUGUAAAUGGGUGUAUGGUUAAUUAUAUCUGACAAGAAGAGACUGACAGCAACUCAGAUCCUCUGUCCCCACGGAGUGAUAGAAGUUGCUUGUUGAAGUGUCGUAGCACAUCUCAUGGGCUGUGUAUUGAAUCAUUGAUUAAAUGCUGCAGCAUCUGGGUAGCUAAAAUGCCAGGGACUGCUGAAGGAGGAGGGAGGAAUGUGCACUGAAUACCGAAUAAGAGCAGGGAAAUCAUCUGGUUUGUACUUCUUUAUAUUUCACAAACUGAUCAAGAACCAGAGCGUUUGCUUUCCCCGUGUGUCUCCCUGCAGAAUGGGCAGCCCACCUUGCUUUCACCUGCUCACAGGCAGUGUCCCUCACCCAGGAGGAGCUGGGAAAGUGUUCCAUGAGAAGACAGCACAGGCUGAAUGUAAUAUGCAUGGGUGGGGUGAAAGCAACCCUACAGCUGGCUCCUUCAAGUGUAGGCAGGCUUUAAAUCUGCUUGUGUGUUAGGAAGAAGGUGGUAUACAGCUAACGUUUUUGAAUGAGACUUGAGUAUCUUUGUUAUUUCCAUUUCCUGUUUUUCCAUUAUUCCUGAUAUCCUUGUGAGCUGGGCUUUGUGUCUGUGAGUAAACUGUUAUCUCUUAACCGUCAUAUAAUGCUAUCUGAAGGAAAAAGAAACAUUUGGAUGAAUCGUACAGCACUACGUAGAAUCACAGGUAUAUACAUUUAGAAAAAAUAAGUAUUUAAUGAAAAUAAUUUACAAGUAAAAUCAUAAAGGUGUGUAGCUGAAAAGAAUAUUCUGUGUGACAUUUUUGGGACAUGGAAGAGAGCUAUUUCUUUUUAAUAUUUCGACUUGCUUUCCUAGCAUGGCAUCACACACUGCUGUGCAUUUCUUGAAACAAUUUUUAAGUGUGCUGCAUUUUGUUUUUCUCUAUUUUUGUCAUUUUGUAAUGAAUGGCAGUGCGAUUUGUCAGAUCUGGCACGAUAUACUUUUCUCCUAACACUUAAGGUUUCUAGAAGUGUUUUAUUGUGGCUUUUGUUUCCAUAUUUUUUGUUGCUCACUCUCCCAUUUCCUUAAAAGCACUGCUCUCUCUUGCAGCCUAUAUUCAUCAUGGAUAUUAUUUUCUUUACUUCCUCCUCACUGAUUUCCCUACUUUCAGUCUCUCCUUUCUCCCCUAACCUGAAAGACCUGAAGAACAUCAUCCAGUAGCUCCACAAUUCAAGAAAUGCCAUUUGUACAUGAUUUUCUUUCCCAUUUGAGAGCAAUCCUUUCAGAGGCAGACAGCACAGAGAGACCUUCGAUGUCUGUUCCCUCUUUGUGAGCAGCAGGGCCAGAACAUGAAAACAUCACACCCAUCCACGUCAGGGAAAACACGGAGACUUGAGAAUUAGAAAGAUAGAGAUGGGAAGAGGUGGAAGGUUUGCAGCAAAGCUGUGGGAGCAGUCUCUAAGCUGCCAGAAGCCAGGGAGUGUCACCUCCAAGUGUCCUGGGUGUCUUCUGAAGAAUCCUGCUGGCAACAGACACUGGCUGUGGGGUGAACAAUCACUGCCAUGUUUGAGUAGGCUGCUGAAUCAGCCCGAGUCCAAGGGACAGGGCCUGUGGGUGCCAGCCACUCAGCAGAGGAACAUUUUGGUCGCUGUCACAUGGGCUCUGGGCUCCAGCUGUCCACAGCUCUUUCCCCAUCAGCUGAUGUGGUAGAUGUGAAGAACCUAGUAGGUCAUUUGCCUAAAGGUCACCUGUACUGAAGGUGACCUACAAACCAAGCUUGUAGCCCUUACCCCACGCACAUAUCUGCUUUAUUAUUUCUACAUGUGACAAGAGACAGACUGAACACAGAGCUUUUGAAAAAAGAAAAAAUAGAAUUAAAGACCGAAAGCUAAAAAAUGAGUUAUUGCUCUUCUGUACCCAACACCAGGUUAAUGAUCUAUGUGGUUUCAAGGGAAUCACUACGUAAGUACUGAUAAAGCACAGGAACACCUGACAAAAAAAAAUGCAGAAAAUCAUUAUGCUGCAGGCAGUUGUUCAAGCUUUGUCAAUGUUUUCUCAUAUUUCUUUUUUUCCUUCUGUGGAGCGAUGGAAAGUGAUGAUAAUGCCUUCUGCUAGGACAGGAGCACAAAGGAAUUAGUUAAAGUUUAGUUUACAAAGAUACAGAAGAAGGUGACUCACCCUUUCAAAAGGCCAGCGAUGUCUUGAGAAGAGCAUGAUCUCUGCUCCCUCAGCUGCUAGCCCUUAAUUGAGGGCCUCAGGUGCAUUGCUUGUACCUGAGCUCCCUGGGUUAGCCAUGACUUCUCACCUGGUGCUCAGGUUCAGGCUGUGGCCUAGCAAUCCCCACACACCUUUGAACCCCUUUUUCUUUCUCAAUAUUACAGUCAUUAACUAAAAAGAUGUGUUUUUUACAUAUUUUUUUACAGCACCUUUCCUCUUCUUUCUCUGCUGUUCCCCUGCAGUUAGCUUCCCUCAUGGGGAUGCAGCAUCAGAAUGCUGUCUUGCUCCAACAGAUGCCUAUAGAUGUCAGCUGGCACCUUCCGGUUGCACCAAACCUCAUAGGCCUGAAGAGUCAGUGUAACUCCAACGUUGCCCUCCUGUAAAAUUCACUCCUCAUGAAGUUAACUGGCAAUUUACAUUAAAAAUUACUUACAAACAUUGUACAGGUGAAGCUGGCUCUGUAGCCCCUUUUCCAAAACUGCUCUUCUUGCAAAAAAUAUUGCCCACUGCUUGCUUCUACAAACUGUGGCAUUGGCCUGCCUCAGUUAUGUCCUUCCCUAAAAUCUUCUGUGCUGGAUCCAGAAGUUCCUAAUACAAACUUCACCCUUGAAUGACUCCUUUGGGAACAACAAUAUUCAAGCUAAUCUCCCAUUCGUGUUAUUGCUGUUAGUGGAGGAUUUGUUGCCAUGCUUUUAUUGCCUUCUGCUCACUGAACUUUUGUACUCAUAAGAGCCUUACUUCUUUCAGCCCUCCUACAUCAAGCCAAUUGGUGACAAAAGCUUUUUCCUUUCUUUCUAGUUCUUGCCUCCAUAUCCACUUGAAUACAACCUGUCUAUUUCUAUUAUAUACCUGUCUUCUAGAGCUGAGUUUCUUCUCUCUUUAAUGUGUAGUUAUUUCAUAUGACCCACAUUCCAUUGCAAGUAGGAUUAUCUUAUAUCACUGCAUUAUGUGGCUUUAGUGACUGCAUCUAGACACAUUGUCCCAUGCAUGGUCUAUGUUGAUUGGAAUCCGUGAAAAGAAAUGCACACAAGGCAGCUUUAGUUUUCUUUUGUUGACAUUGAAGCUUCUGUUUGUAACAAUUAUUUUCGUAUACAACAAUCUUGUAGAAGCCUAUACAGUGGUUUUAGCCACAAAGCUUUAUGAAUCUUAUGCAUUUUAGGAAAUUACAUUAAAUUACUCUUAAGGAACUUCAGAAAUAAUUUUCUAGUGUAGAAUACUGUGCUAAAUUAUUUCAAAUCUUUGCUGUUAGUCCACUCCACCUUCUAGAUCUCAUAAAACUUAUUCUUCAUCACUACGUAUGAAUCCAUCACUGGAUCCAGCUAUGUAAUGUAUAAAUGAGUGCCACUAACUACCUUUCCUAAUAGGCUUAGAUAUUUUUUAGAAGAGUUGCAAAUUCAGGUAAAAUAGAUAAAAUCUUAGGCCUAUGGAAUAAAACCAUUAAGAUGAAGGUAACAGAUGGACUUGACCAAAUUCAGUGCUUUUCUGAUUGCAGAUUCUGAAUCAUAAUGCAAAAAAGGUACAAAAGGAGAGGGGCUGCCUGCUUAAAUUCACAAGUAAAGCUUUGUGAGACCCCAAGUCUUGAAAAACAGAGAACAUUUCAAUUUAGGAUUCAAGUUUACUGACAGAUUUAAGAUUUUUUAAGACAUCCUUUGUGACCUAGGAUGAGGGGUCUUACUCUCAAAAUUGUUGAUCUAGUUGUUCAUAUUGUCUGAUAGGAACAAGACGUACAACUCUGUAAGAUUUUGUCAAUUUUACAGAGCUGUCUAAAAAUGGGAGUAGAAAUCCUAACUUUAGCUAUAUGUAUUUGGAGAGUUUGGUCUAAGGUCUAUUACAGAACUAUAUAAUAUUCUCUGAACUAGAACAGCUGUCAGAAUGUCUAAAAUUGUCAUUUAUAUUUAUGGAAGAAAUAGUUGGUAACUGGUGUCACCAUCCUAGUAUCCACCACUAAAGUCAUCCAUGUGUCUUAUUAAAAAUGUAAGUAGCCAUUACAUUUAACCUGUUUUUACCAGUAAAGCAAGUGGCAAGAUAUUUUGACAGAUGUGGCACUGACUACAUUUGAUGAGAAAAAAAAAACAGAUACAGGAAGAUAGCAUUACUAACAUUUUCCCAUCAGCUGAUAUCUGUGAGAUUUAGAUCUGUGCAAAUAGAAGUCAAGCUAGAUUUCCCAAUUUUAUAUUUUAUAUUUAUCACUGCCUUUUUUAUUAUUUUUCUGAGAAUGUAUUUAUAAAACAUGCUAUAAAUUAUGUAGAAUAAGUAGAAUUUAAAUUCUCCUGUAUUGCUCCACACUUGUUUAAUGUACUGAAUAUUACAAUACAUUUACCAAAUAAGACACUUUGCAAGACCAAAAGGAUUCUGUAGUUCAGUCACGUGUGAAGUCUGUGCCUGGUUCUGCUGCUCCCAGGCUGCUGCAGACUGGGCAACAAGCAGAUUUCACACAGUAAAUGAUCUCAGCUAUUUGGUGAAACCUAUUUUUAUUGUGGUAAUAGCAUUCAAUCACUUUUCAAAACAGGGAACUAGCCCGUUUCUUCCUCACUUGAGUAGCAUUGAGAACAGUAGCAUCCUUGCAUAUUAAUGGAUGCCAGUCAACUACAGAAAAUGAAAUGUUUAUGUUUUACAAUAUUUCAGGUCAUCUGGUGUUUCGGUUUAAAUCAUUCACACUGAUGCUGGUUCUUUAAUCCCAGGAUACCCUCUGUAAGAACAGGAUCAUAAAAUAGAAAUUCCUUUCUGAUAGAUACUUGAGUCAGCACACUUCUUUUUCUUCUGCUCACAAAGUGCUCCAAAAAUUCACACAGUAAUUUAUAUAUUUGUGAGUCUAUUUGGAAAACGUUUUCAUUAUACAAAUAUCUUGUGAACAGUUUGCUGUGAAUAUUUAUUACCUAACUUUUACAUUAAUGCAGUGUUGGCUAGUCAUUCAGAGGAUGCAGUUUCUGCACCAAGAGUCUUUCAAAUCUUGCAAAUACAUUUCACAUUUAAAGUGUAACGUGAACAAUCCAAUUCAACAUAUAUUUUGCUAGUACUUAAGCUUUUGCUUAAAUUCACUUCUGUAAGUGAAAGUAAACCUAGAUUGCUUUUGAGCUCUAGUGAGCAUUAGUGGAUUUUUUCCAUUGCUCAGUCAGCUCAAGUAAUUGCAUCCUUCUGACCUAGAUUCUCCCUGCAGUUGCAGCUCAAAGCCUUCUUCACCCUGUCCUGUACAGUGUUGUGUGAAGUUCCUAUGUGCUGUGAGGUAGUCGCUACACUGCACUCCACAUGGCUUUGUUGCACUGAAAUGCAUUUAUUUCAGAUCCUCUGAUGUAAGGCCCUGAGACAGAUUUAUUUCAUGCACUUCAUAAUUACAGAAUACAAUAAACCACACUAAACUUAAGAACAUGUUGCUUAAAUUCAAGCACGGUUAUGUUCCCGCAUGGUUAAAUAAAUAGUUUUAUUUCACAAA